CAGUCUGCAACUCGACUGCAUGAAGUCGGAAUCGCUGUAAUCGCGGAUCAGCAUGCCGCGGUGAAUACGUUCCCGGGCCUUGUACACACCGCCCGUCACACCAUGAGAGUCGGGAACACCCGAAGUCCGUAGCCUAACCGCAAGGAGGACGCAGUCGAAGGUGGGAUUGAUGACUGGGGCGAAGUCGUAACAAGGUAGC
rnacentral:rRNA from 1 species